rnacentral:rRNA from 1 species
AGUAGUUUGAUCCGUGGCUCAGGACGAACGCUGGCGGCGUGCCUAACACAUGCAAGUCGAACGGAACUAUUUUGACAGAUUCCUUCGGGAUGAUGGAUUUUUAGUUUAGUGGCGGACGGGUGAGUAACGCGUGGAUAACCUGCCUCGCACAGGGGGAUAGCAGCUGGAAACGGCUGGUAAUACCGCAUAAGACCACGGCCCUGCAUGGGGCUGAGGUAAAAGAUUUAUCGGUGCGAGAUGGAUCCGCGUCUGAUUAGCCAGUUGGCGGGGUAACGGCCCACCAAAGCGACGAUCAGUAGCCGGCCUGAGAGGGUGAACGGCCACAUUGGGACUGAGACACGGCCCAAACUCC